GCUUGAGAGGCAUAUGGUUAGAUUUUAGGAGAAGGAAGAAAAGGUCAUUGCGAUGAGGGGCAUAAAACUUGUGGCCUCUCUAUGAACAAAUUCCCUACAUUU
ensembl:snoRNA